ACGAACGCUGGCGGCGUGCUUAACACAUGCCAGUCGAACGGUGAAGCGCCUUCCUUUUUGGUGGGUGUGGAUGAGUGGCGAACGGGUGAGUAACACGUGAGUAACCUGCCCCCUUCUUCUGGAUAACCGCAUGAAAGUGUGGCUAAUACGGGAUAUUCUGGGUCUGUCGCAUGAUGGGUCUGGGAAAGAUAUUGUUUCGGUGGGGGAUGGGCUCGCGGCCUAUCAGCUUGUUGGUGGGGUGAUGGCCUACCAAGGCGGUGACGGGUAGCCGGCCUGAGAGGGUGGACGGUCACACUGGGACUGAGACACGGCCCAGACUCCUACGGGAGGCAGCAGUGGGGAAUAUUGCACAAUGGGCGCAAGCCUGAUGCAGCGACGCCGCGUGAGGGAUGGAGGCCUUCGGGUUGUGAACCUCUUUCGCCAGUGAAGCAGGCCUGCCUCGUUUGUGGGUGGGUUGACGGUAGCUGGAUAAGAAGCGCUGGCUAACUACGUG
rnacentral:rRNA from 1 species